rnacentral:tRNA from 1 species
GGUUCAAGUCCCUCUAUCCCAA